rnacentral:rRNA from 1 species
UACGGAGGGAGCUAGCGUUAUUCGGAAUUACUGGGCGUAAAGCGCACGUAGGCGGCUUUCUAAGUCAGGGGUGAAAUCCUGGAGCUCAACUCCAGAACUGCCUUUGAUACUGGAGAGCUUGAGUCCGGAAGAGGUGAGUGGAACUCCGAGUGUAGAGGUGAAAUUCGUAGAUAUUCGGAAGAACACCAGUGGCGAAGGCGGCUCACUGGUCCGGUACUGACGCUGAGGUGCGAAAGCGUGGGGAGCAAACAGG